CUUUAUUGGAGAGUUUGAUCCUGGCUCAGGAUGAACGCUGGCGGCGUGCCUAAUACAUGCAAGUCGAGCGAAUGGAUUGAGAGCUUGCUCUCAAGAAGUUAGCGGCGGACGGGUGAGUAACACGUGGGUAACCUGCCCAUAAGACUGGGAUAACUCCGGGAAACCGGGGCUAAUACC
rnacentral:rRNA from 1 species